rnacentral:rRNA from 1 species
UUGGAGGGCAAGUCUGGUGCCAGCAGCCGCGGUAAUUCCAGCUCCAAUAGCGUAUAUUAAAGUUGUUGCAGUUAAAAAGCUCGUAGUUGAAUUUCGGGGUCAGUAGGUUGGUCAUGCCACUGGUAUGUACUGGUCUCACUGAUUCCUCCUUCCUGAUGAACUGUAAUGCCAUUAAUUUGGUGUUGCAGGGAAUCUGGACUGUUACUUUGAAAAAAUUAGAGUGUUUAAAGCAGGCUAACGCCUGAAUACAUUAGCAUGGAAUAAUGAAAUAGGACGUUCGAUCCUAUUUUGUUGGUUUCUAGGAUUGACGUAAUGAUUAAUAGGGAUAGUUGGGGGCAUUAGUAUUCAAUUGUCAGAGGUGAAAUUCUUGGAUUUAUUGAAGACUAACUACUGCGAAAGCAUUUGCCAAGGAUGUUUUCAUUAAUCAAGAACGAAAGUUAGGGGAUCGAAGACGAUCAGAUACCGUCGUAGUCUUAACCAUAAACUAUGCCGACUAGGGAUCGGACGAAGUUAAUUUUAUAAUGACGCGUUCGGCACCUUACGGGAAACCAAAGUGUUUGGGUUC